rnacentral:lncRNA from 1 species
UACCAGAGGCUAUGCAAAAGAUGCACGAUAGGAAGAACAUAGGCAAAAUUGUGCUUGAUCCAGGAAUGGAACCUAAGCCUAAACCAGCAACUCCUGCUAAGGGAAAGGCCAAAGGUGGAGACAAAGAGGAUAAAAAGAAGGAUGAGGAGAAAAAGGAGGAAGAGAAGAAAGAGGAAGAAACUGGUACAAGCAAUGAAGGAAGUGGUGGUGACACUGCUGCCAAUGAAACAAAGGAGAAAGAGGCCUCAAGCUGAACAAUGAAUUUCUGCAAUGAUGCGCUUAAACAUUGACCACAUUGAAAAAUUGUGCUGUUAUAUUUUUGUGUAAAAAUAUUAGCAUAAUUAUUUUGACAUCAUAUACAUUACUAAAGAAUGUGACCAUAUUGUGAGUGUAAGUUUGUGUGCUGAUGUGUGUUUGUCGGAUGUUGCAGAACUUUCUUGAGCUGAAUUAUUUACAUAAAUUCUGUCAGAGACAUGAGUUUACAAAUACAUGUUUCAUAUCAUGGUGACAGUAUCACACAUUCACGUGUUGAUGGAAUGUUUAUUUUUCAAAACUACUUUUGAGGUACUUUAGAUUAGUUCUCAUCUACAAACUUUUAAUACUGCCAUAGUGGUACUUUGUGUGUCUGGCAAUGAUUGAAAUUUUGUGUGUAAUGGAGGAUACUGUUAAAAUGUUUUACGACAUGGCUAAUUAGAGAUUAUGGGAAGUUAAUAUUUGAAGCCCAUCUGCCUAUAGGUUAUAAAGAUUUGCUAUUCUGAGCUAAAGCUUUUCAUGUGAUAUUUGAGCUGGUAUGUAUAAAACUGUGGCUCACAAUGUGAAUAUUGAUGGUUCGUGUUGUCUUUGAUGUAAGUAUAUAGUUGUUCUCAGUGCAGCAUAUCACAAUCUAUUGAAGUUUUAUAUAAGCUUCUCAUUGUAACACUGAUUAUGUUGCUUUUUUCACGCUUUUUUAAAGUUUGAGU